ACCAGGAUCCCGUUUGGAUCCGAGUCUUGAAGAUCUGCAUCUGAUGAGCCUAAACGUUGACAGAGUUAAUGCAGACGUGGACAGAAAGCCCUCUGUCCCCCGGAGAUGCUUCCCAAAGGGAUGGAUGCCCCCUUCCCAACCAAAGGUCCUGCAGACACACAAAGGCUCUCCGGGUCCUCAUGGAUUUUGCCACCGCAGUCGGAAUUGUUGUUAUCUGAGAUUUACAGCCUCCCACAUCCUCCAGCCAGACGGCCUAAUCCACGCUGACUGCAGGAACGCUUUGUGCCAGGGACCAGAAGCAACUUGCCACAUCCAAAGGGAUGCAGACGCUUGCAGAGUGCUGGGAUGCCACAUCUCUACACAACACGUGGGCACAGAUGGACAGCUUGCAAAACAGCUAAGAGGUUCAAUAUUUCUGUAAAGAUAACGCUGUGACUGCUCCAAGAGUGUGCAGGCGGAAGGGGCUUCUUU